AUACGGAGGAUCCGAGCGUUAUCCGGAUUUAUUGGGUUUAAAGGGUGCGUAGGCUGUGGGGAAAGUCAGGGGUGAAAGCCCGGCGCUUAACGCCGGAACUGCCUUUGAUACUUCUCCGCUGGAAUACGGAUGCCGUGGGAGGAAUGAGUAGUGUAGCGGUGAAAUGCAUAGAUAUUACUCAGAACACCGAUUGCGAAGGCAUCUCACGAAUCCGUCAUUGACGCUGAGGCACGAAAGCGUGGGGAUCAAACAGGAUUAGAUACCCUGGUAGUCCACGCAGUAAACGAUGAUAACUAACCGUCGGCGAUACACAGUCGGUGGCCAAGCGAAAGCGAUAAGUUAUCCACCUAGGGAGUACGUUCGCAAGAAUGAAACUUAAAGGAAUUGACGGGG
rnacentral:rRNA from 1 species